rnacentral:rRNA from 1 species
GAUGAACGCUGGCGGCGUGCCUAAUACAUGCAAGUCGAGCGAACAGACGAGGAGCUUGCUCCUCUGACGUUAGCGGCGGACGGGUGAGUAACACGUGGAUAACCUACCUAUAAGACUGGGAUAACUUCGGGAAACCGGAGCUAAUACCGGAUAAUAUAUUGAACCGCAUGGUUCAAUAGUGAAAGACGGUUUUGCUGUCACUUAUAGAUGGAUCCGCGCCGCAUUAGCUAGUUGGUAAGGUAACGGCUUACCAAGGCAACGAUGCGUAGCCGACCUGAGGGGGUGAUCGGCCACACUGGAACUGAGACACGGUCCAGACUCCUACGGGAGGCAGCAGUAGGGAAUCUUCCGCAAUGGGCGAAAGCUUGACGGAGCAACGCCGCGUGAGUGAUGAAGGUCUUCGGAUCGUAAAACUCUGUCAUUAGGGAAGAACAAAUGUGUAAGUAACUAUGCACGUCUUGACGGUACCUAAUCAGAAAGCCACGGCUAACUACGUG